rnacentral:rRNA from 1 species
UACGUAGGGGGCAAGCGUUGUCCGGAUUAUUGGGCGUAAAGAGCGUGUAGGCGGCCAGACAGGUCCGUUGUGAAAACUCGAGGCUCAACCUCGAGACGCCGAUGGAAACCGUCUGGCUAGAGUCCGGAAGAGGAGAGUGGAAUUCCUGGUGUAGCGGUGAAAUGCGUAGAUAUCAGGAGGAACACCUGCGGUGUAGACGGCUUACUGGACCAUAACUGACGCUGAGGCACGAAAGCGUGGGUAGCAAACAGG